rnacentral:rRNA from 1 species
CGACCGGCGCACGGGUGCGUAACGCGUAUGCAACCUACCCAUAACAGGGGGAUAACACUGAGAAAUUGGUACUAAUACCCCAUAACAUCAGGACCGGCAUCGGUUCUGGUUGAAAACUCCGGUGGUUAUGGAUGGGCAUGCGUUGUAUUAGCUGGUUGGUGAGGUAACGGCUCACCAAGGCAACGAUACAUAGGGGGACUGAGAGGUUAACCCCCCACAUUGGUACUGAGACACGGACCAA